UGCGAAUAUUAAGCGAUCACAAGAAAAACAGUGUUCGGGGAGAUAACUCUUACAUUGAAAAGAUUUUGAUUACGCGGUGUCAGUUACAAUGGCGUAAUAACUGUUCGAUAUAUACCAUAUGUCUAAGCGACAUCUUGCGAAACAAAAAAAAUGCGAAGGAAAAAACAAUUGGCGGAAGAAAAAAAAUAGUAAUAAUAAUAAUAAUCAGAAG
rnacentral:lncRNA from 1 species